AGUACACACGGUCUGCUGCUGCCAGCCCCUGCAGCCCAACAGGCAGCCCUUGGGCUAAACAAGUGGGGAGGACUUCUCUCAUCAAGGCAGGAUCUCAGCUCUGCUCACCGAAAAGCAAAGCGCAGCUUCUCGCGUGGCAGGGAUUCGUCGCACCAACCAGGGUUAUUAGCAUCACAGGUAAUUCUGUGAUAUUUGGCUGGCAACAAAAGCAGGCCCAAGAAUUUGAAGAUUUCCUACUUGCAUUUCCUUUAAGCCUAAAGGAGUAAUUCUGAAGAGCAAAACUACCUGGAAGGCACGGAAAAGCCCAGCCCAAGAUCAGCUACCUGUGGGAUUGCAGCUUGUGCAUAGCACAGGACCUCAGAAACACAGAGCAGAAGUUGUAUUUUGCAUUGUGAGCUGGGGGAGCGGUGAGCAGCACUGUGAGGGAUUGGUGAAACAGCACAGAUGCAGAAAAGUUCAGCUAUUACAUUUCUAAGGGAAAAGGCAAAAAAGAAGUCCUGAAGCUAUUUUGCUGUAGGUAUUUCUGGAGCUAAGAUCUGAGUCCAGAUGACAAUUAAAAAUAAGAUGGCAUUUGGAGCAGCUGUGAGAGACCCCCAGCUUCAUUUCCUGUGAGAAGAGGAUCCCACAGCUGCCACAACACGCAGCCUCAGUUCAAACAAAACCUGUUUGGCUACAGAUUUGCCAUAACCUGAUUCCCAUCUGCCUAUGGAAAACAUCACCACCAACAGAGAAGCGUCCAGAUUCCAGGCAGAAACUGACCCAACAAAUUCAUAUCACAAGCAGUGGGCUAACAGAUCACCUCAUUAAGAACAUUUGGAUAGAGGAGGGGGGUGUAUGAGAAGAGGAGCAUCCUGGAAUGAGGAGAUCUCCUGCCUUUUGGUCCUGGGUAUUUCUUAAGCUAAAAAGAAUCCCUAAAUGUCAUGUACAAACCUUACUUACGCUCCAUAUGGGAACAUGUCCAGGCUUGUAACAAAAUAUUCACUCACAUUAAGCAUUAUAUUGCAUUACUGUAAUUUUUUCUUCUUAACACAAGGAACAGAUCAGCUAAUUUUAGAUGCAUACAUUUCCAGUUUCAGACUUUUAAGAAAGUUUAAACAGACAAUACUGCCUGGGUUAGCAGAUACCUAUGAAUGCUAACAACCAUGACCAUGCAUCUCAGCUCACCAGACCCACAGCAACGCUGCACAACGCUCCUUUGGACACUGCAGAACAGAGAAGCCCAGAUCUGGAGCAGGGACUGCUGAGAAGGAUGCAACACUGGAAGAACACCAGUGUGAUGCUCCAUUCACUUAUUUAAUAAUCAUGAAGAACAUCCAAUAUAUAAUCCAAUAGAAUCCGGGGAUCCUGGCUGCUGCUGAGAACAGGCAGCCAAGCUUUGCCUUAUGAACUGUACUCUAUCUUUGGCUGGUUGAGCAUGCAGGGCUUUUUUUCAGUGAAGAAUUAGCUUUAAAUUGAUUACUUUGUAAUCAAGACGCGGUGCUUCGUUCAGGUGUACCUGCUCUCUUCUCAUUAAAGACUCUU
rnacentral:lncRNA from 7 species